rnacentral:rRNA from 1 species
CGUCGCAUGUUCCCGGGCGCAUGGCGGCCGCGGGAAUUCGAUUAGAGUUUGAUCAUGGCUCAGAUUGAACGCUGGCGGCAGGCCUAACACAUGCAAGUCGAGCGGUAGAGAGAAGCUUGCUUCUCUUGAGAGCGGCGGACGGGUGAGUAAUGCCUAGGAAUCUGCCUGGUAGUGGGGGAUAACGUUCGGAAACGGACGCUAAUACCGCAUACGUCCUACGGGAGAAAGCAGGGGACCUUCGGGCCUUGCGCUAUCAGAUGAGCCUAGGUCGGAUUAGCUAGUUGGUGGGGUAAUGGCUCACCAAGGCGACGAUCCGUAACUGGUCUGAGAGGAUGAUCAGUCACACUGGAACUGAGACACGGUCCAGACUCCUACGGGAGGCAGCAGUGGGGAAUAUUGGACAAUGGGCGAAAGCCUGAUCCAGCCAUGCCGCGUGUGUGAAGAAGGUCUUCGGAUUGUAAAGCACUUUAAGUUGGGAGGAAGGGCAGUAAAUUAAUACUUUGCUGUUUUGACGUUACCGACAGAAUAAGCACCGGCUAACUCUGUGCCAGCAGCCGCGGUAAUACGAAUCACUAGUGAAUUCGCGGCCGCCUGCAGGUCGACCAUAUGGGAGAGCUCCCAACGCGU